rfam:Biomphalaria glabrata isolate BB02 unplaced genomic scaffold LGTN_random_Scaffold100, whole genome shotgun sequence.
UGGCUGAGUGGUUAAGCACUUGGCUUCCAAACCUAGGGUCCUGGGUUCAAAUCUCAG